AACCUUUACACUGCACGACAGUGCGAUAAGGGAAUCCCAAGUGCGUAGGCAUAGAGCCUACGCUUUUGUCCACCGUAGGGAGGUGGACCAAUAAGGGCUGGGCAAGACCGGUGCCAGCCGCCGCGGUAAUACCGGCAGCCCGAGUGAUGGCCGAUCUUAUUGGGCCUAAAGCGUCCGUAGCUGGCCGCACAAGUCCAUCGGAAAAUCCACCCGCUCAACGGGUGGGCGUCCGGUGGAAACUGUGUGGCUUGGGACCGGAAGGCGCGACGGGUACGUCCGGGGUAGGAGUGAAAUCCCGUAAUCCUGGACGGACCGCCGAUGGCGAAAGCACGUCGCGAGAACGGAUCCGACAGUGAGGGACGAAAGCUAGGGUCUCGAACCGGAUUAGAUACCCGGGUAGUCCUAGCCGUAAACAAUGCCUGCUAGGUGUGGCUCCCACUACGAGUGGGUGCUGUGCCGUAGGGAAGCCGCUAAGCAGGCCGCCUGGGAAGUACGUCCGCAAGGAUGAAACUUAA
rnacentral:rRNA from 1 species